GACGAACGCUGGCGGCGUGCUUAACACAUGCAAGUCGAACGCUGAAGGCCCAGCUUGCUGGGUUGGAUGAGUGGCGAACGGGUGAGUAACACGUGAGUAACCUGCCCCCUUCUUUGGGAUAACGGUCGGAAACGGCUGCUAAUACCGGGUAUUCACUGUCCUUCGCAUGGGGGGUGGUGGAAAGGUUUUUUCUGGUGGGGGAUGGGCUCGCGGCCUAUCAGCUUGUUGGUGGGGUGAUGGCUUACCAAGGCUUUGACGGGUAACCGGCCUGAGAGGGUGACCGGUCACAUUGGGACUGAGAUACGGCCCAGACUCCUACGGGAGGCAGCAGUGGGGAAUAUUGCACAAUGGGCGAAAGCCUGAUGCAGCGACGCCGCGUGAGGGAUGGAGGCCUUCGGGUUGUAAACCUCUUUCGCUCAUGGUCAAGCCGCAACAGUGGUUGUGGUGAGGGUAGUGGGUAAAGAAGCACCGGCUAACUACGU
rnacentral:rRNA from 1 species